AGUAACGCGUGGGUAACCUGCCUCAUACAGGGGAUAACAGUUAGAAAUGACUGCUAAUACCGCAUAAGCGCACAGAAUCGCAUGAUUCGGUGUGAAAAACUCCGGUGGUAUGAGAUGGACCCGCGUCUGAUUAGCUAGUUGGUGGGGUAAAGGCCUACCAAGGCGACGAUCAGUAGCCGACCUGAGAGGGUGAUCGGCCACAUUGGGACUGAGACACGGCCCAAACUCCUACGGAAGGCAGCAG
rnacentral:rRNA from 1 species